rnacentral:rRNA from 1 species
AUUGAACGCUGGCGGCAUGCUUUACACAUGCAAGUCGAACGGUAACAGGCCGCAAGGUGCUGACGAGUGGCGAACGGGUGAGUAAUGCAUCGGAACGUGCCCAGUCGUGGGGGAUAACGCAGCGAAAGCUGUGCUAAUACCGCAUACGAUCUAUGGAUGAAAGCGGGGGACCGUAAGGCCUCGCGCGAUUGGAGCGGCCGAUGUCAGAUUAGCUAGUUGGUGGGGUAAAGGCCCACCAAGGCGACGAUCUGUGGCUGGUCUGAGGGGACGACCAGCCACACUGGGACUGAGACACGGCCCAGACUCCUACGGGAGGCAGCAGUGGGGAAUUUUGGACAAUGGGCGCAAGCCUGAUCCAGCAAUGCCGCGUGCAGGAAGAAGGCCUUCGGGUUGUAAACUGCUUUUGUACGGAACGAAACGGUCUGGGUUAAUACCCUGGGCUAAUGACGGUACCGUAAGAAUAAGCACCGGCUAACUACGUGCCAGCAGCCGCUGUAAAAC